ACCUCGGUGGUAUAGUGAUACAGCACGCGUCCCGGACAGGAUGAAACGCGGGUUUGAUUCCCGCCUGAGGCC